AACGAACGCUGGCGGCAUGCCUAACACAUGCAAGUCGAACGAGACCUUCGGGUCUAGUGGCGCACGGGUGCGUAACGCGUGGGAACCUGCCCUUAGGUUCGGAAUAACUCCCCGAAAGGGGUGCUAAUACCGGAUAAUGUCUUCGGACCAAAGAUUUAUCGCCUUUGGAUGGGCCCGCGUUGGAUUAGCUAGUUGGUAGGGUAAAAGCCUACCAAGGCGACGAUCCAUAGCUGGUCUGAGAGGAUGAUCAGCCACACUGGGACUGGGACACGGCCCAGACUCCUACGGGAGGGAGCAGUGGGGAAUAUUGGACAAUGGGCGAAAGCCUGAUCCAGCAAUGCCGCGUGAGUGAUGAAGGCCUUAGGGUUGUAAAGCUCUUUUACCCGGGAUGAUAAUGACAGUACCGGGAGAAUAAGCACCGGCUAACUCCGUG
rnacentral:rRNA from 1 species